GUCUUCGAGUCGUUGAUUUCACACUGCCGAGAAAAGCCUCUAGAUAGAAAAUAGGUGCCCGUACCGCAAACCGACACAGGUAGUCAAGAUGAGAAUUCUAAGGUGAGCGAGCGAACUCUCGUUAAGGAACUCGGCAAAAUGACCCCGUAACUUCGGGAGAAGGGGUGCUCUUUAGGGUUAACGCCCAGAAGAGCCGCAGUGAAUAGGCCCAAGCGACUGUUUAUCAAAAACACAGGUCUCUGCUAAACCGUAAGGUGAUGUAUAGGGGCUGACGCCUGCCCGGUGCUGGAAGGUUAAGAGGAGUGGUUAGCUUCUGCGAAGCUACGAAUCGAAGCCCCAGUAAACGGCGGCCGUAACUAUAACGGUCCUAAGGUAGCGAAAUUCCUUGUCGGGUAAGUUCCGACCCGCACGAAAGGCGUAACGAUUUGGGCACUGUCUCAACGAGAGACUCGGUGAAAUCAUAGUACCUGUGAAGAUGCAGGUUACCCGCGACAGGACGGAAAGACCCCGUGGAGCUUUACUGUAGCCUGAUAUUGAAAUUCGGCACAGCUUGUACAGGAUAGGUAGGAGCCUUUGAAACGUGAGCGCUAGCUUACGUGGAGGCGCUGGUGGGAUACUACCCUAGC
rnacentral:rRNA from 1 species